GAACGAGAGUUAAUAUAAUAAGUUUAUUAACUUGCUUGACCUAGGUCUUAUAAAGUUCUGGAUAAAGCUUAUUAUGAAACCUUUAUAUCCAUAGGUCUCGACCAAAUCUUGUGCCAGCAGUCGCGGUAAGACAAGGGAGACGAGUGUUAUUCCAUCUUUAACAGGUAUAUAGGGUACCUAGACGGUGNGCAAUGCCUUAAAUAAGUNCCUGGUNCACUNGAGUUUGAUAUGUGAGAGGAAUAUGUCGGAAUUGUUGGAGGAGAGAUGAAAUUUGUNGAUCCCAAUAGGANUGAUAACGGCGAAGGCAAACCUCUAUGUACAUGUACUGUGCUAUUUCUAAAUUAGAAGAAAUUUCUCAUAUAUAUUUUAUUUAAAGGAGGAAAAAAAGCGAUGUGAAAAAAGCGAUGUCCUUNUAAAAAGGGNUCUCUCGACAGAUUUANNAAAG
rnacentral:rRNA from 1 species